rnacentral:misc_RNA from 1 species
GGAAGGAUCAUUAUCAAUGAUAUCCAUCAUACACCGUGAACUUUAUGAACUGUCUUUGGGGAUUUUGUAGCCUUACUAAGGUGUUUCAAGUCCCCAAUAAAUAACACAACCUUACAACUUAUAGCAGAGUCAAUUAUUAAAUUAAUUUAGACAACUUUUAGCAACGGAUCUCUAGGUUCUCGCAACGAUGAAGAACGCAGCGAAUUGCGAAAAGUAAUGUGAAUUGCAUAAUUCCGUGAAUCAUCAAAUCUUUGAACGCAUAUUGCGCUACCUGGAAUUCCGGGUAGCAUGCCUGUUUGAGUCUCAGUUUAAACCUCACCCCCCUUUUGGGGGGGUUGGAUUUGGGCUCUGGGUUUAUUUUUUAAUCCCUUGCCUUAAAAAUAUGAGUACUAAACCAAGUACAAAUAGAGCCAGUCCGAAAGGAAUGUCUAUUUUGUGGCUAGUGGAAACCUCCAACAUAACUGAAUCAAUGAGCUCAAAUCAAGCAAGAUAACCCGCUGAACUUAAGCAUAUUAAUAAGCGGAGGGAAAGAAACUAACAAGGAUUCCCCUAGUAACGGCGAGUGAAGCGGGAACAGCUCAAAUUUAAAAUCUCCUCGGAGAAUUGUAGUUUAUGGAAGCGCUAUCGAUGGAGGCCUGGGUACAAGUUCUUUGGAACAAGACAUCAUAGAGGGUGAGAAUCCCGUCUUUGAUCCAGGUAUCUUCACACUAUGAUGCGUCUUUUAAGAGUCGGGUUGUUUGGGAAUGCAGCUCAAAUUUGGUGGUAUAUUUCAUCUAAAGCUAAAUAUUGGCGAGAGACCGAUAGCGAACAAGUACCGUGAGGGAAAGAUGAAAAGAACUUUGAAAAGAGAGUUAAAAGUACGUGAAAUUGCUAAAAGGGAAACGUUUAACACCAGUAUUUGGGAGUUAAAAAUCAACCUUUCAGAAAUGGGGGGUGCACUUUUUGACUUUCAGGUCAACAUCAGUUUCGUUUCUUGUAAAAAAGCCAAAGGAAGGUAGGUGCUUGCACUGUUAUAGCCUAGGCCGAUGCAAGGGAUGGGACUGAGGACUGCGAUACAUGCCAUUGGCUGGAUUCUCAGCAGCCGUGUGGGGCCGGUUUAUAGGCAGCUUGCUGACUAUGGGCCGUGCUUUAUACGCCCUGUUGUACAAUCACAAAUGUAUCUAGGAUGUUGACGAAAUGGUUUUAAACGACCCGUCUUGAAACACGGACCAAGGAGUCUAACAUAUAAGCGAGUAUUUGGGUGACAAGCCCAUAUGCGUAAUGAAAGUGAACGUAGGUGUGAUGGGUUACUCCUGCAACAUCGACCGAUCUUGAUUUUUAAUGAUAGAUUUGAGUAAGAGCUUAUAUGUUGGGACCCGAAAGAUGGUGAACUAUACCUGAUUAGGCCGAAGCCAGAGGAAACUCUGGUGGAGGGUCGUAGCGAUUCUGACGUGCAAAUCGAUCGUCAAAAUUGGGUAUAGGGGCGAAAGACUAAUCGAACCGUCUAAUGGCUGGUUCCCUC